UUUUACCUUCGACUGCAGUAGCACCAGCAAUGUGGCCCCAUUGUGCUAGGAGCUGCACAAAUACAAGACCAAUUCCUGCAAAAAGCUUACAAUCCAAGGCCCUAGUCAUACAAUGAGGUUCCACAUACACAGCCCUGGAGAUUGAAUCAUCUACUCUCACAGAAAAAAAGAGAAAGCAUUGGAGAAUUCUCCACAUUGUGUCACCAAUAUGCCUCUUUCAGUCUACAAAGGACCAUUUUUAAAGUUAAGUGAAGACUGUAGUUUCCAAGCCUGAUUUCAAUCCUUGGCUUCUCUGCGAAGACUAUUACAGUAAGAGGGCUCUACUGUUUGUGAUGGUGUCUUGAGAUAAGGAAAUGUGUAAACUGAAACUGAACCGAGCACAAAAUCCUUUUGCAUAGCCAUGUAAGAGCCAUCCAGUAACAAUAACUGCCAACCACUACCAAUUCUAGGAGCAUUUGAACCAGUGACAUAGGUGAAAGGUUUUUUGUUUAAAUAUUAGUUCCAUGUUGCUGAGAGACCGGUGUGGGUUCAAAGCAAUGCUAAAGAAUAUUGAUCAAGCCAAGUUUAAAGACUGAUCUCAAGUCAACAGAAAUCUUUCUAUUGACUUCAACAGACUCUGGAUCAUGUCCACAGGUACCAUUUUCAUGCUAGUAUUACAGGGAUCAGAAUAGCUGACCACAAUAUAUUUUGUAUGCAGUAUUGUUGUAGCAGUAUUGGUCCCAAGAUAUUAAAGAGGCAAGGUGGAUGAGGGAAUCUCUUUUAAAUAUAUCGAAGUUGAUCCAAUAAAAGAGAUUGCCUCAUCCAUCUUGUCACAGUAUAUGUUGACAGUUAUUUAUUAUGUGAAGUGAAGCAAGCUUUCUGGAGAUGUCUCUGAUGGCCACAAAUACUGACCUGUUGUUGUGGUUACAGGAUUAACUUUGGUAAGGUCAUUUAAGAGAUGCAAUUUAUCUUCAUCACUCAGAAAAGCUUUAACCUCUUCUUUGAAUGAGUCAUUAAGCUCAUUCUGGAUGGCAGGAUCUCUCUUUGGGCCAUUCACCUGGAAAGCACAUAUAAAAGAUAACACCUGUAAUAGACUGAACACCAGGGUGGACUUUCACCUCUUCAACUGCAGUUUAAAGUCCCUUUCCAGUUUACAAAUAAAACAGAUUUGAUUUAAGCUCAGUCUUAGCAAGAAACAAAUAAUUCAGCACGUUUUUACUACUGGUCUGACCUCUCUGCCCAGGAAGCAUUAAAAAAAAAAAAUUUAUAUACAUCUCACUACCGUGGAAGUUGUGUUUCAGUCUUUAAACAUGCUUUAGAAGGUGUUUAUUUGAUGCACAAGAGAUCAUGAAUUAAUGACAACUUUUAUCGGCUGAAUUCAUCCCUCAUGUAAUUCUGACUCAAGAGGAAUGACACCAUGGAUAAAUGUGUCCCUAGAUGUAUAGUUCUUGAUGUUAGCAACUUUGUGAUUCUUUAAGAACAAAUACACUUACACAGUGGUUCGUGACCAAGGGAUUUUUGACUCCCCUGAACCCCAUAUACUCAACACAAGAUCUGACUCAAGGAGAUGGCCUAUUAGCCUUAAUGGCUGGUGCACAGAUAUUAGUUGUCAGAAGUACUAAAGCUAAUGGAGGUUCCCCAGGCUUGCAUUUUUUGGAGCCAAACGGUGCUCCACAACUAUGGUUUUGCAAUGUGUAUAUAUAGUGCCAUUUGGAGAGGCGAAUGGAGUUAUGCUAAUUUGUCUGCAUCAAACCAGAAUUUGGCCCUCUACAUACAACUCAAAGACUUUAAUCUGAGCCUCUGGGCUCCAGUGUCCUUGAACACUGUUGGAAGGUCAUUGUUUGUUAAGCAUACAUAAUGAAAAGCAUAGCCAGUACACACAGGUUUCAGGUACUGGGUUGUUUUUUUUGGACAAAUGCUGAUUUUGCAUUUCUUCUGCAAGCAUUCUUUCUCCUCCCGCCGAAUUAUGUAACUACUUGUUUAUGCCAACAAACUGCUGAAUACAGUUAGCACAUACAAUUUGUUAACUAACCUCAGCAGUCUUCAAAUGGACAAACAACAUCCUCUAGACACCACUUGCACAUAUGGCUGUGCAGGAAUAAUAUGCAAACUAGAAUUAAUUAUCAUCAAAAUUAAUAUAUGCACUUGGGGAUCUCCAAUUACUUUCCAGAUUGGAUAUAACUGGAUUUAAAGUCAUGCACAAUUCUAUAGCAUACGAAUAAAAAUUUGCUUACCAGUAAAGUUGAAUGAGAAGAGAGUAGGUCAGAUGUUGACGUGAACAUGGUUUUCAUUAUCAUACCAUGUAUGAGCAUUAAGGGACCCAGUGAGUUCACAGCUGGAUAUGCUGAACUACACAAAGCCAAAUAUGUCUUCAGAUAAUACUAGAGUUUGUUGUGUUGAUUCCCCUUUCCCCCCUGCCCUCAUCCGUUUACUGUUUAACGUUUACGGUAGAUAAAUGGUUGCAAACUCCAUUGCAGAGCUGGCUGUAAUAAGUCCUGGAAAAGGAGGCUCCUUUUUGCUGGCUGAUUAGUUAGCCCAACUUCCCUGCAUUCACUUUCAUCUAUUGAUAUGUAUGGCUAAAAGCAAAAAUAUGCAAAAGUAGGAUCAACUCUUUAAAAACCCAGGCAGGAGGAAAAAAGUGAUUUUAACAAGGUUAUUGAAAAAUUAAUUUGAAGGAUGAUGAUUAAAAAUAGUGAUAGUCUAUUGUAAAUCCUGCAAUUUCCGAGUUGGGUGGCUACAUCUCUGAAUGCAGGCCUACCUAAAUUAAUGAAUUGCCAGUACUCAUUUUAAGUUUUUAAGUUACACAGAUUAAAACCUUAAAUUUAUCAAAUCUAGUGGCUUGAUAUUACCCAGAGGUUAUUGACAAAUUUGUGGAGCAGCUGUAUGGCAACAAGGGAGGGGGAAAGAGGGAGAGAAUACUUCAACAGUCUCUGAUUGUGGAUUACAAUCAACUGAACCUCAGCCCAGCAUUAUUUUAUGACAAAAAGUUUAAAUUAGUGAAGACGGACAAUAUUGGAGCUUGAUUUUACCUGUUUUGGCAUAUUAUUCAGUUGUCUGAUGCCGUGUAUGGGUGAAUUUGUAAAGCUCUAGAAACAGGACUCCUGGGUAGGAGAGUUGAUACUGUGAAGGCCUUCAGACUGGUGGACCUUGUUCAAGUCAAAGUGGAGGUCCUAAAAGAAAUCAACUUUGUUAUUUCAGAAAGAGUAAUGCAAACCACAUAAUUCUGUACUGCUUUCUUGAAGAAGAGACUCAAGCCUGAACUCUCGUACGGAUGUAAUGUUCUUCUCUAGAAAAGCCAGCCUCACCAGAAUAAGGAGUUAGUUAACAAUGGGGCUAGCUAGUUUAUACACUAACAAUAAAAAUACUUGGUUUGCCCUCAGCCAACCACGUUUAAGCAACUUGAUCUGUAAAGGGAUUUAAAAA